rnacentral:rRNA from 1 species
AUUGAACGCUGGCGGCAGGCCUAACACAUGCAAGUCGAGCGGUUGAGGGGAGCUUGCUCCCUGAUUCAGCGGCGGACGGGUGAGUAAUGCCUAGGAAUCUGCCUAUUAGUGGGGGACAACGUUUCGAAAGGAACGCUAAUACCGCAUACGUCCUACGGGAGAAAGCAGGGGACCUUCGGGCCUUGCGCUAAUAGAUGAGCCUAGGUCGGAUUAGCUAGUUGGUGAGGUAAUGGCUCACCAAGGCGACGAUCCGUAACUGGUCUGAGAGGAUGAUCAGUCACACUGGAACUGAGACACGGUCCAGACUCCUACGGGAGGCAGCAGUGGGGAAUAUUGGACAAUGGGCGAAAGCCUGAUCCAGCCAUGCCGCGUGUGUGAAGAAGGUCUUCGGAUUGUAAAGCACUUUAAGUUGGGAGGAAGGGUUGUAGAUUAAUACUCUGCAAUUUUGACGUUACCGACAGAAUAAGCACCGGCUAACUCUGUGCCAGCCGCCGCUGUAACAC